rnacentral:lncRNA from 1 species
UUCAACAAGAAACUUAAACAAGAAAUCAUGUUGAUCAUCAACCAAAAUUAUGCAAAUUUCAAUAUUUCAAAUCAUCUAGAGAUAACAAGAUAUUGAAUAACACCAAAGUUCAUCAACAACAUAUCAUUCAUGAAAUCAUGCUAUAUCACGGUACUAGAAUUUCAUAAUCAAAAUUCCAUUUUAACUUAAUCAUAAACUUUAUAUAAUAUGGAUUUCAUGAACUUCCAAAUAAUCCAAAUAUGAAGGAGGCUCUGAUACCAAUUGUUGGAUUAUAUAUCUACAUAAAAAACUUUAGCCUUCAUAUCGAAUUACUUGGAAUAACAACAUAAGCGGAAUCGUACCUGAAUCCAUAAAUGGAAAUCUUUAGUCCUUCUUGAAGAUUGUCCAAGGUGUGCCUUUGAGAAGCUCCUUGAUCCUUCCUUUAAGAUUGUCUUGAAGUUUUUGCUUUCACA